rnacentral:rRNA from 1 species
UACGUAGGGUGCAAGCGUUGUCCGGAAUUAUUGGGCGUAAAGGGCGCGUAGGCGGUUUCUUAAGUUUGAAGUGACAGUGGGUGGCUUAACUACCCAAGGCCUUUGAAAACUGGGGAACUUGAGGACCAGAGAGGGACAUAGAAUUCCGGGUGGAGUGGUGAAAUGCGUAGAUAUCCGGAGGAAUACCAAAGGCGAAGGCAGUGUCCUGGAGGGUGACUGACGCUGAGGCGCGAAAGCUAGGGGAGCGAACAGG